UCACUUUUGUCCCUCUUCAUUCCGCAUAAAUCUUUUGCCUUUUAUUAAAGAUGUCUGUGGGGAGGACCAACAAGAGUAUAACUAAAUUUUUUAUUCCUUGUAAAGCAGGA